UGCUGCAUUGGACUAGGAACCUAGUACACCAAAUUAAGUCUGGAAACCUGAAUUCCAGUCCGUUCACAAUUUGCAGACAGCUUUUCAGUCUGAGUCGCAAUGGCCAAAAAGAA